rnacentral:lncRNA from 1 species
CCAUACCUAAUCUAACAAAAAGUUCCCAAUUUCCCUCCUUUGAAGUACAAUUAUCACGUGACUGCCCCACAAUUCUUGCAACAUGAAAUCAAUAGAAUGAGAAAUGGGUUAACAUGAAAUCAAUUCUUGCAAUAUGAAAUAGGUUAAUUUGAUAUUAGAGAAAGAGAAAACCACGGCAAGUGUAUGCAAGGUAGUUCACCUGCUCCUAAUUUUUCUCUUUUGAAGUACAAACACCAUGUGAGUGAGCAGCAAUUUCUGCAACAUGGAAUCAAGUAUUUGGAGUGGCAGUUGACCUACUGGCUUCAACGGCAAUUUCUGAAAGAAGGAACUCACAAAACCCAUCUCCCAAAUCACGUAAAAAUCCCAACUUUUUGGCUAAAAUAGACGUUUUGGAUUGGAUUUGGUAGAAUAGCCGUUUGGAAUUGGAUUUGCUCAGAAUAGGUUGCCCGAAUUUUUGGUCAGCAUAGCCGUAUGGUCAAAUUAGCCGUUUGGUAGAGAGAAUGGAAGAAAAGGCUUCACCGGCAAUUUGAGAAAGAAAGAGUUCAAUGCCAAAGGAAAGAACAGGUUUCGUACAAUUUGGAAGGAAUAUUUGACUUUUCCACAUGGCUAAAAAAAA